rnacentral:rRNA from 1 species
AUACAGAGGGUGCAAGCGUUAAUUGGAAUUACUGGGCGUAAAGCGCGCGUAGGCGGCUUGGUCAGUCGGAUGUGAAAGCCCCGGGCUCAACCUGGGAACUGCAUUCGAUACUGCCAGGCUAGAGUAUGGUAGAGGGUAGUAGAAUUCCUGGUGUAGCGGUGAAAUGCGUAGAUAUCAGGAGGAAUACCAGUGGCGAAGGCGGCUACCUGGACCAAUACUGACGCUGAGGUGCGAAAGCGUGGGGAGCAAACAGGAUUAGAAACCCUAGUAGUCC